rnacentral:rRNA from 1 species
GUCUACGGCCACGCCACCCUGAACAUGCCCGAUCUCUUCUGAUCUCAGAAGCUAAGCAGGGUCGGGCCUGGUUAGUACUUGGAUGAGAGACCACUUAGGAAGACCAGGUGCUAUAGGCG